UACAGAGGGUGCGAGCGUUGUUCGGAAUUACUGGGCGUAAAGCGCGCGCAGGCGGCCUUUUAAGUCUGGCGGUGAAAUGCCGGGGCUCAACCCCGUUGCAUGCCGCGGAUACUGGGAGGCUGGAGACGAGUAGAGGCAAGCGGAAUUCCGGGUGUAGCGGUGGAAUGCGUAGAUAUCUGGAGGAACACCGGUGGCGAAGGCGGCAUUCUGGACCAUAACUGACACUGAGAGACGAAAGCCAGGGGAGCAAACGGG
rnacentral:rRNA from 1 species